rnacentral:rRNA from 1 species
UACGAAGGGAGCUAGCGUUGUUCGGAAUCACUGGGCGUAAAGCGCACGUAGGCGGAUGUGUCAGUCAGGGGUGAAAUCCCGGAGCUCAACUUCGGAACUGCCUUUGAUACAGCACAUCUGGAGUCCGGAAGAGGUGGGUGGAAUUCCUAGUGUAGAGGUGAAAUUCGUAGAUAUUAGGAAGAACACCGGUGGCGAAGGCGGCCCACUGGUCCGGUACUGACGCUGAGGUGCGGAAAGCGUGGGGGAGCAAACAGG